rnacentral:rRNA from 1 species
AUGGUCAUUAUAUCGUUUAUUCUUAUUCUUCACAAAGAGAAGAAGAAGGCCAGAGAAUUAUACAAAAAGAACGGUGGCCCUACAUUAGAGAAGGCAAAUGUGAUUAAACUUUUCAAAAAGGAUGAGCUCAAGCAAAUUCUGAAGAAUAGCAACUUAAUUGGAAAAGGUUGCUUUGGUGAAGUCUACAAGGGUCUUCUAGACAAUAAGCUAGUUGCAGUAAAGAAGCCGAUUAAUGGUUCUGUGCUAGAGAGUGACCAAUUUGCAAAUGAAGUCAUCACCCAGUCUCAAGUCAUCCACAAGAACAUUGUAAGGCUCAUUGGUUGUUGCCUUGAAGUCGAUGCCCCCAUGCUGGUCUACGAGUUUAUCUCCCAAGGUAGCCUCUAUGACAUUCUUCACAAUAGCAAUAACAAGGUGGCACUCAGCUUGGAUGCACGUUUAAGUAUUGCUGCACAUUCAGCGGAUGGUCUAGCUUAUAUGCACUCGAAAACAAAUACUAGAAUUCUACACGGUGAUGUCAAACCAGCUAACAUACUUUUGGAUGAUAACUUCAUACCCAAGAUUUCAGACUUUGGCAUAUCUAGGCUGAUUGUAAGUGACAGGGAACACACUGCAUCUAUCAUUGGCGACAUGAAUUAUAUGGAUCGGGUGUAUCUACAAGAAGGCCUACUGACCGAAAAAAGUGAUGUUUAUAGUUUCGGAGUUCUGAUCCUGGAAAUUAUAAGCAGAAGGAGGGCAAUGCAUUCUGACAACAAUAAGUUGGUAAAGAAUUAUCUUGAAGCCCAUAAGCAACAGAAGAAAGCAACUGAGUUUUUCGACAAGGAAAUUGCAAUGACAAAAGAUUUGGACCUUCUUGAUAGUCUUGCAGGUCUAGCUGUGGAAUGCCUUGGCCUUGAAGUGGAUCAAAGACCAACGAUGAUGGAGGUAGCUGAGCGGCUACUCAUACUAAGCCGAUCUUCUAAGGUGUAA